UCCGUUUUCGCGUCUCAACCUCUCCUCUCACAGCCUUGAGCCACCCGUCUCCCUCCGCUUUCCCCUCUUCCUCUCAGCUCGAAGCUUGUCCGCUCUCCUCUCAAAUCUCAUAUGCUAAACUCGAUUCCUUUCAAAUCUCAUAUGCUAAACUCGAUUUGGGCAGGAACGACCUCAAGCUCAUAGCAAUUUCGAUUUGUGCUAUGAGAAUGUCUACUCUACCUUUCCUCUUCAGGUCCAUCGAACUGACAUCACACCAUGGUGGAUUCAAGAUAUUUGGCAGCAGCUCGUAGAUGCUGUUCAGCAUGAAGGGGUCCCAAAGAAUGAACUGAAAGGUGGAGGCACAAAAGCAUUUCCAUGUGGAUGGUAGCCCAGAUAGUAACCUGCCAUCUGAAUUUGAUUUUGAUGAGGGAAUGUUUAUCUAGAGAAGUUUUCUGAGGAUGUGACAGCACCAAGAGGUCGUAUCAAGAUUUGGGUACCUGUGGAGAAUCGGACUCCAUGUAGUUAGGCUCGUCAGCCAUUGGGGGGAUCGCCUGAGAUGCCCCCAUGUAGUCGGCACUGAUCUCGUCAGGCAUGGAGAGAAUUGGCUGAGAUGUAAUUUUUGUGUAGAUUGAGAUACAAUUGGCUGAGAUGCAAUUGUUAUGUAGAUUGAGAGAAACGAGAAGAAUACUAAUCUAGUUACCCUUCCGUAUUAGAUGCUAAUCUGAUGGAACCACCUAUCGAAAUUGGCGCCAUUUUCCUGUGUCUAA